rnacentral:rRNA from 1 species
UACGUAGGGGGCAAGCGUUGUCCGGAUUUAUUGGGCGUAAAGAGCGUGUAGGCGGUUUGGUAGGUCCGCUGUGAAAACUCGAGGCUCAACCUCGAGACGCCGGUGGAAACCAUCAGGCUAGAGUCCGGAAGAGGAGAGUGGAAUUCCUGGUGUAGCGGUGAAAUGCGCAGAUAUCAGGAGGAACACCGGUGGUGUAGACGGCUUUCUGGACCGUAACUGACGCUGAGACACGAAAGCGUGGGUAGCAAACAGG